CAAGCCUCAAUGACGCUUUAAGCGUGGAUUUUUAAAGGUGCUAAAAUAUUGGACAUAAAUAUAAAUUAUUUCAAACUUGUCAAAGAUCUAAAUAUAUUAAUUUGUUUCGUACCAAUUGUUGUUGCAUCCCCAAAACUCUUGGCCAAUAGAAUUGCCAAUGUUGGUUUAAAAUACGAAACAGUUUACAAUCUAAACUGGAUCUGAAAGCAUCCCUCAUUCAUUAGACACAACAUUUUUUUUUUUGGCGAAAUGAAAACGAAAGUUUUUAUUUUUAUAUUGCUUCCGUCGUUUCUUACUUUCACCGGGGGUAGUUUUCUCAGCCAUCGAUGAGAUUUGCAUUGCCUAUGACGACCAAGUUCUACGGAGAGGAGAAACUUAUCAGCCGGCAAGCAGGUGUGAACUUUUGGAGUGUACCGAACGUGGAAUGGCGAAAAAGAGUUGUCCCAUACCAUUCGGCCAUAAUUCUUGUGUCUUUAUGCGUGCCGAUUUCACAAAACCCUUUCCCGACUGCUGUUUACGCAU